rnacentral:rRNA from 1 species
UGGAGGCAGCAGUGGGGAAUAUUGGUCAAUGGGCGCAAGCCUGAACCAGCCAUCCCGCGUGCAGGAUGACGGCCCUAUGGGUUGUAAACUGCUUUUAUACACCAAGAAAAAACAGGACGAGUCCUGGUCUGACGGUAGUGUAUGAAUAAGCAUCGGCUAACUCCGUGCCAGCAGCCGCGGUAAUACGGAGGAUGCAAGCGUUAUCCGGAUUCAUUGGGUUUAAAGGGUGCGUAGGCGGCUUUUUAAGUCAGUGGUGAAAUCUUGCCGCUUAACGGUAAAAUUGCCAUUGAUACUGACAAGCUUGAGUACAGUUGAGGUAAGCGGAAUGUGUAGUGUAGCGGUGAAAUGCUUAGAUAUUACACAGAACACCGAUUGCGAAGGCAGCUUACUAAACUGUUACUGACGCUGAUGCACGAAAGCGUGGGGAGCGAACAGGAUUAGAUACCCCGGUAGUCU